rnacentral:rRNA from 1 species
AUUGAACGCUGGCGGCGUGCCUAACACAUGCAAGUCGAUCGGUAACGCGGGGGCAACCCUGGCGACGAGAGGCGGACGGGUGAGCAAUGCUUGGGAAUCUGCCCAUCAGCGGGGGACAACCCGGGGAAACUCGGGCUAAUACCGCAUACGCUCUACGGAGGAAAGCCGGGGACCGCAAGGCCUGGCACUGACGGAUGAGCCCAAGCCGGAUUAGCUAGUUGGCGGGGUAACGGCCCACCAAGGCGACGAUCCGUAGCUGGUCUGAGAGGACGAUCAGCCACACCGGAACUGAGACACGGUCCGGACUCCUACGGGAGGCAGCAGUGGGGAAUAUUGGACAAUGGGGGAAACCCUGAUCCAGCGACGCCGCGUGGGUGAAGAAGGCCUGCGGGUUGUAAAGCCCUUUCGGUAGGGACGAAAGCUUCCGACCUAACACGUCGGGGGGUUGACUUAACCUACAAAAGAAGCACCGGCUAACUCUGUGCCAGCAGCCGCCGUAAAAC